AGUGAACGCUGGCGGUAGGCCUAACACAUGCAAGUCGAACGGCAGCACAGUAAGAGCUUGCUCUUACGGGUGGCGAGUGGCGGACGGGUGAGGAAUACAUCGGAAUCUACUUUUUCGUGGGGGAUAACGUAGGGAAACUUACGCUAAUACCGCAUACGACCUACGGGUGAAAGCAGGGGAUCUUCGGACCUUGCGCGAUUGAAUGAGCCGAUGUCGGAUUAGCUAGUUGGCGGGGUAAAGGCCCACCAAGGCGACGAUCCGUAGCUGGUCUGAGAGGAUGAUAGGCAAAAUGGAAAUGGGAAAAGGGCCAGGACUCUAACGGGAGGAGGCGGGGGGAAUUUUUGGCCAUGGGGGGAAGGCCGAUCCCAGCCAACCGGGGGGGGUAAGGAAGGCUUUGGGGUUGAAAAGCCUUUUUUUUGGGAAAAAAAAGCGGCGGGUAAAACCCCGGCUGUCUUACGGGUACCAAAGAAUAAGCACCGGCUAACUUCGUG
rnacentral:rRNA from 1 species